ACACAAAUGUAGACGGAAACUCAGAGUUCCAACCUUCCCACUUGUAGACAUCAACUUCAAUAUUUGACAAACCCAGAAUUACAAAUACACCAGUUAAUCUGUUCUCACUUGAGUGAUUAAUUUCACUAAAUAUUCAAUACACCCUCAUGUUCAUCAAGUUAUCGCAGUAUUAUUGGAAAUGCAAAAGAAAAUGUCAUUAAAAAUAAUUCCAUUUCAAAAAUUGUCCAAAUCGUUCUUCGAAAAGAAACUAUAGUAAAACGAGUUUAUGGAAGAAACU